rnacentral:misc_RNA from 1 species
UUGUAACAGAAUUUCGCCCACGGAAGCCAAUCCACCCAACUCUUACUUUUUUCUCCUACAAAGCAACGCAAAUACAUUUUAAUGGUGCGAUUGAUGACCUCUGUUUGCCCAUUGGACUAGGGCUGGUAAGCAGAGGCAAAAGCCAAUUUGGUACCAUAGAGGCAAAAGAGUUCUUACCAGAGGUGGCUUGUAAAUACCACAUCACAGUCACUGACAAUGGUUUUAG